rnacentral:rRNA from 1 species
UCCGAGUUGUAAUUUGUAGAGGAUGUUUCGGGUACCGCCUCGGUUUAAAUUUCUUGGAACAGAAUGUCAAAGAGGGUGAGAAUCCCGUCUUGGACCGGUGGUAGGGCCUAUGUGAAACUCCUUCGACGAGUCGAGUUGUUUGGGAAUGCAGCUCAAAAUGGGUGGUAAAUUUCAUCUAAAGCUAAAUAUUGGCCAGAGACCGAUAGCGCACAAGUAGAGUGAUCGAAAGAUGAAAAGCACUUUGAAAAGAGAGUUAAACAGUAUGUGAAAUUGUUGAAAGGGAAGCGCUUGCAACCAGACUUGAGCGCGGCGGUUCCCCCUUGCUUCUGCUUGGGUUACUCCGCCGUGUCCAGGCCAACAUCGGUUCUGGGGGUCGGUCAAAGGCCUUGGGAAUGUAUCUACCUACGGGUAGACUUAUAGACCAGGGUGUCAUGCGACCUCCCGGGACCGAGGAACGCGCUUCGGCUCGGAUGUUGGCGUAAUGGUUGUCAGCGACCCGUCUUGAAACACGGACCAAGGAGUCUAACAUCUAUGCGAGUGUUUGGGUGUCAAACCCGGAACGCGAAAUGAAAGUGAACGGAGGUAGGAAGCUUCGGCUGCACUAUCGACCGAUCCUGAAGUUUACGGAUGGAUUUGAGUAAGAGCAUAGCUGUUGGGACCCGAAAGAUGGUGAACUAUGCCUGAAUAGGGUGAAGCCAGAGGAAACUCUGGUGGAGGCUCGCAGCGGUUCUGACGUGCAAAUCGAUCGUCAAAUUUGGGUAUAGGG